GACGAACGCUGGCGGCGUGCUUAACACAUGCAAGUCGAACGAAGUGGCGAACGGGUGAGUCACACGUGAGUAACCUGCCCUCUUCUUUGGGCUAACGGUCGGAAACGGCUGCUAAUACUGGAUAGUGGGGGAUGGGCUCGCGGCCUAUCAGCUUGUUGGUGGGGUGAGGGCCUACCAAGGCUUUGACGGGUAACCGGCCUGAGAGGGUGACAGGGCACAUUGGGAGUGAGAUACGGCCCAGACUCCUACGGGAGGGAGCAGGGGGGAAGUUGGCACAAGGGGCGCAAGCCUGAUGCAGCGACGCAGCGUGAGGGAUGAAGGCCUGCGGGUUGUAAACCUUGUUCGCUCAUGGUCGGGUAGUGGGUAAAGAAGCGCCGGCUAACUACGUGCCAGCAGCCGCGGUAAUUC
rnacentral:rRNA from 1 species